rnacentral:tRNA from 1 species
GCUCCUGUAGCCCAAUUGGAAGAGGUGGCAGACUUAAAAUCUGUUUGUUGUGGGUUCGACUCCCACCAGGAGUACCA